UUAGGUGUCUUGUGCAGAGAUAUUUUCAGUGACACAUUACAUCAUUAGUUUCAUCUUUCAACUUUCUUCCUUUAUUGCUUUUUACUUUGGUUGCUGAAAAUCUACUCUAUGUUUUUCCCAUUCAUCCCAGCUGUAAUGGUUAUUCUCUAUUUGUUCCCUCUUCUUCGCCACUCCUCCGGCGACGAAAACCAACUGCUCCGGCUACAACUCUGGCGAAGAAUCCCACAAUGGUCAACGCUCGCCGAAGUCCGUUCUACGGUGUGCUUCAACUUCAUUUGAUGAAUCUCAGAAUAACGAGGAAGGAUGGAUACAAUGACUUCAACACGUUCUACAUGCAAAUGUACAUUAGAGGAGCUUUAGGAGUUUCCGAGGAUAUCACUAACAUUGAAGAUUUCUUUGAAGUUGUUGACUUGGGGUGAACAAAUUGUCAAGAAAGGUGCCUAAAGGCUGAAAUGAUGAGAAGGGUUACGAAUAAAAAAAAACUAUGGCGCAGUAAUUUCUAUGUUCUAUUAAUUAUUUUAGAAUUGUAUCUAUAUCUCAUGAUCCAUGAUAAAGAGAGAACACUAAGACUUAAUAUCUGACCCUACCAAGUAAAAAUUUUCACUUGAAAUAUUAUUUUAGAACUGGUAAGAAGAAAAAGUUAAUUUAGUAGUGACCAAAUCCUCCGAGUCCAGUAAAUGUGAAGCUUUAGCCAAAUUGUCCUCUCGUUUAUGUGUCCCCAAAAGAUAUUUGAUGUUAUUUUUCAGUUCUAGAGAUUUAUAUAAUGCACAAAGCGAAUGCUUUUGCUAUCUGAAAUAUAUGUAAAAUAUGAUCGAUUUCUUUA